CUGUACGCUUUCGAGAGUUGGAACCAGCCAUCAAAAUGGUAAAAAAUAUCGUUUAGUACAUAAAUUACAACUGAUUUUUGCUCUGUAAGGUCAAUCCAUACCGUCUUGUACAUAAAAAUAGGGUACUAAUAAAUCUGAAAAUUAAAAACUACCAUGCAUCCCAACGACACUAAUGCCCAAACAGCUAAACAGGCAAAGGCAAGCAAGAGUUGCCAACAGAGGACGAUAACAGUGCUCGACUGAGCCCAACAGAAUAAAAAUGUUUCAUAGACGAAAAUAACUUCUUUAACAUGAUCUCUUGGAGCAAGCCAAAUUCAUUUGCGAGCUUCCAACUUCUUCUGCUCUUUGGCUGCAGGGAGAAAUUGUGGAGUAAGGUCAAGGUGAAAAUGAAGGAAAUAAAAAUUACUUAACAGUUGGCGUGACUAAUGCAGAUAGCUACCUGCUUUCUCCUCUUCACGUUUUUUAGCAG
rnacentral:lncRNA from 1 species